GAUGAACGCUGGCGGCGUGCCUAAUACAUGCAAGUCGAGCGAACAGAUGAGGAGCUUGCUCCUCUGACGUUAGCGGCGGACGGGUGAGUAACACGUGGAUAACCUACCUAUAAGACUGGGAUAACUUCGGGAAACCGGAGCUAAUACCGGAUAAUAUAUUGAACCGCAUGGUUCAAUAGUGAAAGACGGUUUUGCUGUCACUUAUAGAUGGAUCCGCGCCGCAUUAGCUAGUUGGUAAGGUAACGGCUUACCAAGGCAACGAUGCGUAGCCGACCUGAGAGGGUGAUCGGCCACACUGGAACUGAGCCACGGUCCAGACUCCUACGGGAGGCAGCAGUAGGGAAUCUUCCGCAAUGGGCGAAAGCCUGCCGGAGCAACGCCGCGUGAGUGAUGAAGGUCUUCGGAUCGUAAAACUCUGUUAUUAGGGAAGAACAAAUGUGUAAGUAACUAUGCACGUCUUGACGGUACCUAAUCAGAAAGCCACGGCUAACUACGUG
rnacentral:rRNA from 1 species